AUGGAGGUGUGGCCUUUGUGGUUGUGACAGUGAUGGAGGUGUGGCCUUUGUGGUUGUGACAGUGAUGGAGUUGUGCCUUUGUGGUUGUGACAGAGAUGGAGGUGUGGCCUUUGUGCUUGUGACGGUGAUGGAGGUGUGGCCUUUGUGGUUGUGUCAGAGAUGGAGGUGUGGCCUUUGUGCUUGUGACGGUGAUGGAGGUGUGGCCUUUGUGGUUGUGACGGUGAUGGAGGUGUGGCCUUUGUGCUUAUGACGGUGAUGGAGGUGUGGCCUUUGUGCUUAUGACGGUGAUGGAGGUGUGGCC
ensembl:lncRNA